CCCUCCCUCCCAGACCCUCCCACCUCCUGGACAGCAUCCAUGCAGCAUCAUUGUGAAUGUAUUCUGGAGCUGUCCAGGAGGUGGGAGGGUCUGGGAGGGAGGG